rnacentral:rRNA from 1 species
GACGAACGCUGGCGGCAUGCCUAAUACAUGCAAGUCGAGCGAACAGAUGAAGUGCUUGCACUUCUGACGUUAGCGGCGAACGGGUGAGUAACACGUAAGGAAUCUACCUAUAAGCGGGGGAUAACAUUCGGAAACGGGUGCUAAUACCGCAUAAUAUCUUCUUCCGCAUGGAAGAAGAUUGAAAGACGGCUCUGCUGUCACUUAUAGAUGACCUUGCGGUGCAUUAGUUAGUUGGUGGGGUAACGGCCUACCAAGACGAUGAUGCAUAGCCGACCUGAGAGGGUGAUCGGCCACAUUGGGACUGAGACACGGCCCAAACUCCUACGGGAGGCAGCAGUAGGGAAUCUUCCGCAAUGGGCGAAAGCUUGACGGAGCAAUGCCGCGUGAGUGAAGAAGGCCUUCGGGUCGUAAAACUCUGUUAUAAGAGAAGAACAAAUUGUAGAGUAACUGCUACAGUCUUGACGGUAUCUCAUCAGAAAGCCACGGCUAACUACGUGCCAGCCGCCGCCGUAA